UUUUUUUUUUUUUGAUGGCAAGAAUCCGCAGCAACCCUAUCGCCCACACAUAUUUUAAUCGCGCACAUGCUCUAUUUUCUUCCUCUCAUCUCCUCUCCUGUGCCAAUCGCUGCGGUUGCCACUCGUGUGUUGACAGCUGCAUUGCUCCGAGGCCACAUACACAUUAGACUUCAAUAAUUACGAGACAAAAUAAAUAAUAAAUGUUAUGUCCCACCGAAUAUACCAAAUAAAAUACAUAUACAUCAGGACAAAAAUGUAUGUUUUAAAAAUAUAACUUAUGGUGCAUUUAACUAUUAAUCUUGUUUGAUGGUGUACAUGUUAGAAAUAUAGGC
rnacentral:lncRNA from 7 species